AUUGAACGCUGGCGGCAGGCCUAACACAUGCAAGUCGAACGAGUGGCGGACGGGUGAGUAAUGUCUGGGAAACUGCCCGAUGGAGGGGGAUAACUACUGGAAACGGUAGCUAUUACCGCAAACCAUGGGAUGUGCCCCGAUGGUAUUAGCUAGUAGGUGGGGUAACGGCUCCCCUAGUCGACGAUCCCUAGUUGGUCUGAGAGGAUGACCAGCCACACUGUAACUGUGCCACGGUCCGGACUCCUACGGGAGGCAGCAGUGGGGAAUAUUGCACAAUGGGCGCAAGCCUGAUGCAGCCAUGCCGCGUGUAUGAAGAAGGCCUUCGGGUUGUAAAGUACUUUCAGCGAGGAGGCGUUACUCGCAGAAGAAGCACCGGCUAACUCCGGGCCAGCCGCCGCGGUAAUAC
rnacentral:rRNA from 1 species